rnacentral:rRNA from 1 species
UUUUAUUUGAGAGUUUGAUCCUGGCUCAGGAUGAACGCUGGCGGCGUGCCUAACACAUGCAAGUUGAGCGAUUUACUUCGGUAAAGAGCGGCGGACGGGUGAGUAACGCGUGGGUAACCUACCCUGUACACACGGAUAACAUACCGAAAGGUAUGCUAAUACGGGAUAAUAUAUUUGAGAGGCAUCUCUUAAAUAUCAAAGGUGAGCUAGUACAGGAUGGACCCGCGUCUGAUUAGCUAGUUGGUAAGGUAACGGCUUACCAAGGCGACGAUCAGUAGCCGACCUGAGAGGGUGAUCGGCCACAUUGGAACUGAGACACGGUCCAAACUCCUACGGGAGGCAGCAGUGGGGAAUAUUGCACAAUGGGCGAAAGCCUGAUGCAGCAACGCCGCGUGAGUGAUGAAGGCCUUCGGGUC